UACGUAGGGUCCGAGCGUUGUCCGGAUUUACUGGGCGUAAAGGGCGCGUAGGCGGUCGUGACAAGUCACUUGUGAAAUCUCCGGGCUUAACUCGGAACGGUCAAGUGAUACUGUCGGACUAGAGUACAGAAGGGGCAACUGGAAUUCUCGGUGUAGCGGUGAAAUGCGUAGAUAUCGAGAGGAACACCUGGCGGCGAAGGCGGGUUGCUGGGCUGAUACUGACGCUGAGGCGCGAAAGCCAGGGGAGCGAACGGG
rnacentral:rRNA from 1 species